rnacentral:tRNA from 1 species
GAGGCUAUAGCUCAAAGUGGUAGAGCGCAUGCUUAGCAUUCACGAGGUCCUGGGUUCAAUCCCCAGUGUCACCU